AUUGAACGCUGGCGGAAUGCUUUACACAUGCAAGUCGAACGGUAGAGGGGGCAACCCCUUGAGAGUGGCGAACGGGUGAGUAAUAUAUCGGAACGUGCCCAGUCGUGGGGAUAACGUAGCGAAAGUUACGCUAAUACCGCAUACGAUCUAAGGAUGAAAGCGGGGGAUCGCAAGACCUCGCGCGAUUGGAGCGGCCGAUAUCAGAUUAGGUAGUUGGUGGGGUAAAGGCUCACCAAGCCAACGAUCUGUAGCUGGUCUGAGAGGACGACCAGCCACACUGGAACUGAGACACGGUCCAGACUCCUACGGGAGGCAGCAGUGGGGAAUUUUGGACAAUGGACGCAAGUCUGAUCCAGCCAUUCCGCGUGCAGGAUGAAGGCCUCGGGUUGUAAACUGCUUUUGUACGGAACGAAAAGGUUUCGUCUUAAUACGAGGAGCUCA
rnacentral:rRNA from 1 species